rnacentral:rRNA from 1 species
GAUGAACGCUAGCGGCAGGCCUAAUACAUGCAAGUCGGACGGGAUUUGGGAGCUUGCUCCUGAUGAGAGUGGCGCACGGGUGCGUAACACGUAUGUAACCUACCUUUACCUGGGGGAUAGCCUGUCGAAAGAGAGAUUAACACCGCAUAACAUUACGUUAUAGCAUUAUAGUGUAAUCAAUAUUUAUAGGUCAAAGAUGGGCAUGCGGAAAAUUAGCUAGUUGGUAAGGUAACGGCUUACCAAGGCUACGAUGUUUAGGGGAUCUGAGAGGAUGGCCCCCCACACUGGUACUGAGACACGGACCAGACUCCUACGGGAGGCAGCAGUAAGGAAUAUUGGUCAAUGGGCGGAAGCCUGAACCAGCCAUGCCGCGUGCAGGAAGACGGCCCUAUGGGUUGUAAACUGCUUUUGUACCGGAAUAAACCUCUUUACGUGUAAAGAGCUGAAUGUACGGUAAGAAUAAGGAUCGGCUAACUCCGUGCCAGCCGCCGCAGUAA